rnacentral:rRNA from 1 species
GACGAACCGUGCGAACGUUGUUCGGAUUCACUGGGCUUAAAGGGCGCGUAGGCGGACGACCAAGUCCGGGGUGAAAUCUUUCGGCUCAACCGGAAAAGUGCCUUGGAUACUGGUCGUCUCGAGGGAGGUAGGGGCAUGCGGAACUUCCGGUGGAGCGGUGAAAUGCGUAGAUAUCGGAAGGAACGCCGGUGGCGAAAGCGGCGUGCUGGACCUCUGCUGACGCUGAGGCGCGAAAGCCAGGGGAGCGAACAGG